rnacentral:rRNA from 1 species
CCUACGGGAGGCAGCAGUGGGGAAUUUUGGACAAUGGGCGCAAGCCUGAUCCAGCCAUGCCGCGUGUGGGAAGAAGGCCUUCGGGUUGUAAACCACUUUUGUCAGGGAAGAAACGGCUUUUUCUAAUACAGAGAGCUAAUGACGGUACCUGAAGAAUAAGCACCGGCUAACUACGUGCCAGCAGCCGCGGUAAUGCGUAGGGUGCAAGCGUUAAUCGGAAUUACUGGGCGUAAAGCGUGCGCAGGCGGCUUUGCAAGACAGAUGUGAAAUCCCCGGGCUCAACCUGGGAACUGCAUUUGUGACUGCAUGGCUAGAGUACGGUAGAGGGGGAUGGAAUUCCGCGUGUAGCAGUGAAAUGCGUAGAUAUGCGGAGGAACACCGAUGGCGAAGGCAAUCCCCUGGACCUGUACUGACGCUCAUGCACGAAAGCGUUGGGGAGCAAACAGGAUUAGAUACCCUGGUAGUCCACGCCCUAAACGAUGUCACUGUUGUGGACGUNUUGNUGUCUAGUACGAGACACGCGUGAGUAGACCGCGNGGAGGACGGCCGCGAGUAGUAACGUACGAAGAAGUAGACGGACGUAGAGACGNGCCGAGGACGACGACGAGGGAGGAGG